UUGGGGAGGGUAUGUGCUAUGGUGAGCGCUGUGAAUUGUGUAAGACUAAUGAAUCACAGACCUGUACCUCUGAAACAAAUAAUACAUUAUAUGUUAAAAAAAAAAAGAUACUAGAAUUUAAAUAAAAACUAGAAACAUUAAAAAAAGUAUGGUCAUAAAAUGUCAAUAGUAUUUUAAAUAAAUAUUAAAGAUCAACUAAGUGUUCUUUUAAAAACAAUCCCUUGUGAGGCUAUAGUAUUAUUCUAACAAUGCCACCAACAUUUGCUUGGGAAUUAACUAGAGAAUUUGUCACCCACCUUUUAAAAUAGGCUUGCUAAAAUGAUGGAUAUCUUCAUCUUUUGAGGAUAAUUUUGAUUUUUUUGGAAGCAGCAAAACUAGUUGGAUAUAAGACUGAUGAAUAUAGUGGAUGGGUAAGCCGGUUAUUAUUUUGGGUUGAAAGUAAGAACACUAUUUGGGUUAAAAAUUUACGUUUUGUGGCUCAUCAUUUUGUAAGAGAAGCCCUAACUGUGCUAUGAACAUUGUUAAAGUAAGUUUGUGCCCUUUCAAGGUAAUUAGUAAUUUGAAGACUAAUGCUCACCUGAAGAUAAAAAUUCUGGUUUGUUGGUUAAAGAAGCCAGUCUCAUUAUUUUACCAUCUUACUCAUUCCAAGUAUUCCUACACAAGAUAAAAGGCACCAUACUUGAGGUCAUACAGCCGGUGCUUCGGAGGUAUAUUAGGGUUCAAAUUCUGACUCUGCUACUUACUAUGUGUGUGACUUUAGGCAAGUUGCUAUACUCACUUUGCUUCAGCUUUCUUAUCUAUUAAACGGUGAUACUAGUAUUAUCAGAUAUCAGAUGUAAGAUACUAUAUUGUUUCAGACCUAGUAAGAGCCUAAUUAAACCUAGCUAAUAUUAUUACUAUCAUUAUUGAAGGUAAUUCAAAUAAUUCAUUGAUUAAUGUAAUCACUUAUUGAGUGCCUUAUUGCUAGGCAUUUUUAUAUAUUAUUUAAUUCUUUAAAUAUACCUUCACUUCUGUCCAUGACGAAUUAACUGCUAUGGGAAUUAUCUUCUGCUGAAAGCGACUAGAAAACCAGACAAAAUAUGUGAGGCAAGCACUGUUUUAAGACAUUGGACAGCAGGUUUCUAGGCUGCAGCCUAGAGCUGCUCUGGAUGCACCAGAGCCUGGAGAGCUUGUUGAGUUGAGAUGAAACUGGAGUUCAAGGAAGAGAGAGCCUGUCAAGCAUAUUAUAAAAGAUGAUGGAGGUACAGGGAGAAAGCCAUACAUAUCUGUCAUGAGAUUCCCUCACGUCUUUGAUUAAGUACUUACCUCUGCACACAUGUGGGAAAACUCCUCAAAACAGGGGAAACAAUAAUUGGAAAUCAGUCGACCUAACAAUUCCCACCCAGCUGGAAGAGUUGGUUUUUCCCUCAGUCAGAAGAGAAAACUUACCAUAUACAGAAAAUUUGGUGGAAUCCUUGGAAGGAUCACACCUUUGGGAAGUUAAAUUAACCCUAGAGUAAAGGCUUCUUCGGAUCUACCAUAGCAAAGCCUAAACAAGCCUCAGAAGAAUCAAACUGGGGGCGCCUGGGUGACUUAGCCAGUUAAGUGUCUAACUCUUGGUUUUGGCUCAAGUCAUGAUCCAUGGAUUGUGAGACUGAGCCCCCUGUAGGGCUCCACGCUCAGCAGGGAGUCUGCUUGAGAGUCUCUCCCUGUGCCCCUCCCCCACUCUCUCUCUCAAAUAAAUAAAUAAAUAAAUAAAUAAAUAAAUAAAUAAAUAAAAAUCUUUUUUAAAAAAAGAAGAAUCAAACUGAUCUGCAUGUAACUUAAUUGUACACUAGAACAAAAUCCAACACUUUAUAAAGAAUACAACAAGAUUCAGCAAGUCAACAUAAAGUUCAUGAUGUUUAGCAUCCAAUCAAUAAUUCCUACCAGGAGGAGAUGACCCAUAACUAAGAGAAUAAUCAAUCAGUAGAAACAGCCGCGGAAAUGACAGAGAUGAAGAAAUUGGUGGACAAGGACCUAGGACAGCUAUCUAAAUAUAGAUUUGCUCAAGAAUGUAAAUGAAAAUGUGAACAUAUGAGGGCAGAUGUGAAUGAAUAUAUAUAUUCAAGAAAUAAAGUGUGUGGAAGAGAAAAGAAAGUGUGUGUGUGUAUUCAAGAAAUAAAAAAAAAAAAUACCAUAUCUGAAGAGAAAAAUACACCAGGUGGGAGUAAUAGUAGAUUUGGCAGUGCAAAAGACAAGAUUGGUGAAUUUGAUGUACUUAUACGCUAUCCAAAAUAAAGCACAGACAGAAAGAAGGAAACAGAAUCCAUGUGACCUGUGGGACAGUAUCAAGCAUCCUAAUAUAUGUUUGUAUUAGUUUGCUAUCGCUGCUGUAACAAAUUACCACAAUCUCAGUGGCUUAAAGCAACACAAAUUUAUUAUCUUACAGUCCUGGAGGUUAGAAGUCCAACUAAGGUCUCACUGGUGUUGACAGGGCUGCAUUUCUUUCUGGAGGCUCUAGAGAGAAUCCUUUCUUUGCCUUUCCCAGCUUCUAGAGGCCACCUGUAGUUCUUGGCUCAUGGUCUCCUUCCCCCAUCUUCAAAACCAGCAACAGUGAAUCAGACCUUCACAUUGCACCACUCUGACUUUCUCUUAUGCUCCCUUUUCCACUUUUUUUUUUUUAGUUUUUGGUUUUCCCUUUUCCACUCUUAAGGAUCCUUGUGAUUACAUUGGGCCCACCAAUAUAAUCCAGAGGUAGCUCCCUUUUUAAGGUCCCUGUGCCACGUAACCUAACAUACUCACAGAUUCUGGGGGUUAGGAUGUAGAGAUCUUCAGGGAGCCAUUAUUUUGUCUUCUACAACAUCUAAUUGGAGUGCCAGAAAGAGAGAGGAGAAAGAAAGGAGGACAGAAAAUAUGUUGGGAGAAAUAACUGAAAAAUUUUCCAAAUAUGAAAAAUAUAAACCCAUAGACCAAUUAAUUUAAUAAAUCCCAAGUAGAAUAAAGAAAACUACACCAAGUCAUAUCAUAAUCAAACUUGAAAAAACAGUGAUAAAGAAUCUUAAAAUAGCCAGAGGGGAGAAAAAAGGACACAUAUAUACGAAGAUCCUUAGAUUGGAGAUACUUAGAUAAGAAAUAUAGGAAACUUCACAUCAGAAACUAUGCAAGCCAGAAGAAACUAGAUGGAUAUCUUUAAAAUGCUAACAGAAAAAAAUUCUCAACCUAGAAUUCUAUACUCAGUGAAAAUCUCUUAUAAAAUUAAGGUGAAAUAAAGAACCUUUCAGACACACAAAGCUGGAAGAAUUCUUCAAGCAGCAGGCGUCUACUACAAGAAAAUUUAGAGCAAGUACUACAGGCAGAAGGAAAAUGAAAACAGAUGGAAAUCUGGAUCUACAGAAAGGAAUGACAAGCACUGAAAUAAGUGAGUAAAUAUAAAAAUGUUUUCUUACUUUUAAAAUUAAUGGAUAGUUGAUAGUUUAAAGCAAAAAUAUAUAUUGUGCUAUAGGGUAUAUAUCAAAUGUAGAACUAAAAUAUAUAACAGCAAGGGGAAGGGAAGGAAGAAUAAAUAAAACGAAAUCAGAGACUCUUAACUCUAGGAAAAAAGCUGAGCGUUGCUGGAGGGGAGGUGGCGGGGGGGGAUGGGGUAACUGGGUGAUGGGCAUUAAGGAAGGCACUUGAUGGAAGGAGCAUUGGGUGAAUGCUCUACCUCUGAAACUAAGAAUACACUAUAUGUUAAUUAAUUGAUUUUAAAUAAAAAAUAAAGUAUAUAGCAAUAAUAGCACAGAUAUUAGCAGAGAAGAAACAGUGUACUGUUUUGAGUUUCUUACACCUGCAGAGAAAUUACCUUACCUGAAGGCAGACUGUGAUAAGUUGAAGAUAUAUACUCUAACCUGUUAAGCAACCUUAAAAAAAGAAAACAAAGAGGUACAGCUAAUAAGCUUACAAAAGACAUAAAAUGGAAUUAUAAAGGAUGAACAGGGCAGAAAGAAAGGAAAAAAAAAAAAGGGAUGAGACAGAAAAACCAAUAGCAAUAUGAUAGAUUCAAACUGAACUAUAUCAAUAAUCACAGUAAGUGUAAAAUGGUCUAAAUGCUUCCAUUAAAGGCAGAGACUGUCUCAUUAGAUAAAAAAAGUAAGACCCAGCUAUAUGAUGCCUAUAAAAAAUCCACUGUAAUUAUAAAGGUACAUAUAGGUGAAGGGUAAUGGGAUGGAGUGAGCUAUACCACAUUAACACCAGCCAAAGGAAAGCUGAAAUAGGAAUAUUAAUAUCAGACAAAAUAGAUUUCAGAAUAAAAAUUAUUAGCAGGGAUAAUGAAGGUUAUUUCUUAAUGAUAAAGGGGUUAAUUCUUCAAGAGGUCAAAAUAAUCCAAGCAUUUAUGUAUCUAAAUGCAGAGCUUCAAAAUACAAGAAGCAAAAACUGAUAGAACUGAAAGGAGAAACUGAUAGAACUGAAAGGAGAAACAGAUAAACCCACACAGCACCCCUCUCACAAUAAUCAAUAGAAGGAGACUGCAAAACCAAGGGAGUGCGAGCAGGGAGAGGGGCAGAGAGAGAGCCCCAAGCAGACUCCGCGCUGAGCAUGGAGCCCGAGGCGGGGCUCGAUCCCAGGACCCUGAGAUCAUGACCUGAGCUAAAACCAAGAGUCAGAUGCUCAACCGACUGAGCCACCAAGGCACCUGGGUGUGGACAGCUGUAUGCUGUAACCCACAUAACCCACAGCAUGUAAGGGGCACACCCAGAUCCUACUGCAUUCCUCGUGAGCUGUGUCCUGGAGAAACUGAGCCAGGCUUGGCACCUCGGGAGCCCACUUCCCUGUCUCACAAGACCAGAUCUCGCAGGGGCUACUUUUGAUUCUCUCCAACCACAGCCCACUGGCUGGAGCCCACUGGCUGGAGUAGCUGGAUUUCAUGUGGCAAGUCUUCUCAGACCAAAUCGAGACAGAGAGUACAGUUUGACCAGCCAGAGCUGGGUAGAGAAUCUGAAAGCCUGUUGUAGGUUCCAUAGACUUCCCCAACAACCCUACGUGGAUUUCUAUUUGGGAACUGUGGCAGUAGGUCAGAGACUUAAGGUUUGAGAUGUGUCAAGUCUGGCAGAAGGACGUGCUUUGGACUCUCAGGUGAUGGUAACCGGACACUGACAACUGGAACCCUUGAGAGGACCAGCUGCUACAGUGUCCAGAUUUUGUCCACUAAUCCCCAGACCCAUCCUGAGAAUUUUUAUUGAAGACCUCAUCCUGGGAAGCCUGGUGAUCGAUCCCUUCGUAAAACGAGCCGCCAUUGUGCAGGAAAGUCCCCACCGCCCGCCCCUGCCGGGCGUGCCCCACAGCGUCGCUGAACACUUUGUUGAUCUGCUCCUCCGAGGGCAUCCACCAGUCGGGGUUGGAGGGCAUCGGGACACGUGCAUAACUCCUACCUCGCUAUUUUAAUAUGGACACUUGUAAACUGAAUUGAGCAUUUUGGAAAAAAUUCUAAGUCAAACUCUGUUAUUUUUGCACAGCUGACUACAAAAUAGUCCAAGGUGACUAUUAUUUACACACCGUUUCUUCUCCAACAGUGCUCCCUUUACAAGACAACAGGUCUGGUCGCAGGACUGGAUUUGUCUGAAAUGACUGCGUGAAAUCCUGGCCCUAUUUGCCCUCAGGAGAAGCUGAUGCUCUUCGAGUAUUUGGACCCCAAAAAUCUCAUGAAUUGAACCGUGCCCUUCUCAGCAGGCAGAAUCUAGCUUAGCAGAGAAGCAGGGGUAUCCCCUUCGAUACUGUGCCUGAGCUGAGAGCCUCGCUAGCCUCACUGGAGUCCCAGCCCGGGCUGCCUUACUCAAGGGAAAGAACAGUGUUCAUUCAGCAACUCCUCCUGCAAAACUGCCAGAAUCAGAUGGCUUAGCCUAGGGUGCAGGCCUGGGAAGCACUGAAGGAUAAGUCCCUAUUCCUCUUCUGUCCCCCUCCCAUCCCUACAGUAAGUUAUCUAACAACUGUUGUAGUUUCCCUCUGUCUAGAUCCCCCACUCAUAUCAACACAAGGAAAUAAAGGCUAAUGGAUGAGGACGCUGCGACCCUGGGACCCAGAGAAGGUGCUGCUAUGUGACACCCUGUCAACUUCCACUCUCUCCUCGGCAUCCGCUGCUGAGACAGGACUUUCUCGGAUACUGUGGUAGACUAUUAAAAGCUCAUUCUGUUGCACAGACAGGACGCAUCUUCACAGGCCCUCUUCCCUCUAGGGUCAAACCACCUGCAGGAGCGGUCAGCCUGGAGUCUGGUUCCAUUCCAAACUGUUUUCCAUCACUAAGUGUCCAACGGUCUGAGGUUUCCUUGGCUGUUCUAAUCUUGCUCACCUAACACGGAUGUCCACCCCGGAAGUCACCAGGUCUGAGGCUUUAUGAAAGGAAUCCCAUCUGGGUCACAGGAAGGCCCUAGGAGUUCAGCUUUUGGGACAAGCAUGUAAAUGUUUGGAUCAGCCGCCCCUGACACAGACCAUUGCCGUUUUUUGCCUCUGGAUUCUCCACCCAAGGGCGGGGGGGGGGGGGGGGUGCCGUGGCGCCAGGUGAGGCAGGAGCCGGAGGAUACAGAUGCUGAUUAGCCCACCUGGACUGUGUCCGUGUCACAGAGGGUCGGGCAACGUUCUCAGGGCAAGGUGCGGGUGCUUUGGGAGGUAUGUUAACCUCUCAGUUUCACUCACUUGCUGCUUAAAAUGUGAAAUGUUGAAUAAGAAUUUCUGGAAAGGGAUACCGUUGUGAGGCCCCUUGUCCUGACUCCCCUUAUGGGCCCCCGGGCAACUUCUUGGAGUACAGUGUUCCCAGGAGAGCCCCAAGCUCACAAACGCCUCUGUUACUCUUGGUGAGUAACUCUGUCAGCUCUGAUGAUGUUGAAGAAUAAAGGAAACUAUGGCUAGUUUGCUAAGACAGACCCUGGAAAUUUCCAUCACCCACUGUUAGUAAGUGAAUCUUCAGACCGGCUGACGGGGGGUGCUCUGGCGCACCUGUGCCUAGUUGAUAUGGGUGUUUUCAUUCCAGGUGGUUCUCUCAAGUACGGGCCACCUGCACUAGAAUCACCCAGGGUGGUUGUGAUGAGCAGCAAUGCACGCCUCUCCCACUCCCACUCCCGACCCGCUGAAUCAGAAGCUUGGGGUGGGCCCGAGGAAUUUCAGCUGCUAACAAAACCUUCAUGUGCCUCAGGCACACUCAUGUUGCAGACUACUGUGGGCAUCCCAGGAGGGGAUGUUGGAGUGUCCUUUCUGUACACCAAGGCCUUAUCAGUAAUAGUGUCUCCUCACUGUGACUUCCUUGCCAGGAAAUAUUUUGAUCCCUGUCCAGAGUAAAUUAUUAAGUUUUUCCAACCAAUAAAAUUACUAUUGAAAUACACAGGUCAAUACUUGAGCUUCUUGAUGUGAAUUUUUCAGGUGUGAAUAGUGUUCCUGUUGGCAUUAGAAUGCUUCUACUUGUCUAAAAGGCUGUGUUUUUAUUUGCAUCUGCUGAAUCAACUGUAUACCUCUUGAUUCUUCCUUCUCAUCCUCUGCCUGGCCUACCACAGUGUGGAUCAGCUGCAAAGUAGUCAGCUGUUAAUAGUGAUGAAAUGGUAUCAUCGAAGCAAUAUUUUUAAUAUAGAGACUUUAAAAAAACUAACAGAAUAAAGUCUGACUGGGCAACAGAUACUUCAGGCACCCCAAUAUUAAGGAAAGCUAACUCUAAAUAAAUAUAAGGAGUUGGGGGCAAGUCCUCUUGAGAAGGUAGCUGGAGGGGGAAAGGGGCACAGGCUGCAUAUGGAAAUGGGAGAUCUGCCUGAUUUUUAAAAAAUUCCACCCCUUCCCUUCCUCUGUGCGUUUCCCCAUGCUCCGGUUUUGCUGGAGGUGGCCUUCUGUGACAGCAAAGAAAAUCUGAAUUUGAAGCGUGAAACAUGAGGUGCUAUGCGAUGCUUAUGGGCCAUUCCGUGAGAACGCCAAGGCUAAAGCAAACGAGGAAUUUUUAAAGAACUUCUCGAUACCAAGUAGAUGGGCCACAUGAAGCCUAUAGAGGUCUCAGAGGGAAAAACUAAAAUACAGUCAGGGCUGGACACUUGCACGGGGGAACCAGAGCCAAUGCGGUGAAAUGAGAUCACAGAUGGCGACACUGAGCGGAAGGAUGCAGUACCUCGGAGGCAUGUUACUU